AAUUCUUGUAGCUCCUCUGUUAUCUUCCCCUCCGAUCCUCCUUUCCCUUCACCACAAAUGUAUGUGUGCUGCUGUUGGUACCCAUCGUGGCACAUACGCCGCCACGCGCCGCUAUUGGUGCCCGCCGUGACCACACACACCCAUGCGCUCGGCUGCUAUCGUCUUUGCGAUGGGGGCGGCCGCCAUGUGCUUCAUGUGGCUCCCGCACUUGCCGGAACUGCGAGGACCGCAAGCUGCGACGCGGCCGGCCAUGUUGUGAGCUCGCACGUGAAGCUGCGACCAUGGGGCAGCGGCUAAAUGCAUCCACGGGGGAUUUUUUCCUACCAAGGAUGCGAUGUGGAAGUUUGCUACAACCAGCGGCGGCACGCUUGCAAAGCUUCAUCCACGAGGCGAAGAUGUCGAGCAUCAGCGACGACGGCGAGGCGGAGCUGCAUCGACAACAAAAAUUGCUACGACCAGCCUGUGCUUUUGCUGGAACCAGUCGAGCGCCCACGACGACGGCGAGGCGGAGCUGCAUCCACAACAAAAAUUGCUACGAGCAACAUCUAUUUUUGCUGGAACCGGUCGGGCGUCGACGAUGACAGCGAGGCGGAGCUGCAUCCACGACAAAAAUUGCUACGACCGACAUCUAUUUUUGCUGGAACCAGCCGAGCGACGGAGAGGCGGAGCUGCAUCCGCAAUAAAUUUUGCUACGACGGGCUUAUGUUUUUGCUGGAACCAGCAUGAGUGUCGGACGGCCAUAGAGCGCCACCCAGAGUUGCUACCACGGGCAGCUCAAGAUGCUACAACCAGCCACCGAGGUUGACAUGGCCAUGCCCAGCGACACUACAAUGGCCACAUGAUGUUGGGGGCGGCGACGAAUCUUUGGUCCGUGUUGCAUCGAACAAAGCCAGGGCUAGUGGCGACGGCGGCG